UUCAUUAUUUGACCGUAUUUCAAAGAUAAACAAAAUCCAGUUACAACUCCGAACCGCUAGAUGGCAGCAGUACACCAACACGGGGCCAAAUCUCACGAGAAAGAUUUCCGCUGUUUGAAAAGCAACAACAUCAGCGAGCAGCCACGAGGAAAGCAUGUACCACACUCGUUUGGUCUUGUGUCAAAGCUGUGCGAAACUGGAGGGAGAAACUUGAGAGACCGUGCCGGAAGAAUGCUGGACAGAGUUCACUAAAAUUAAUUAAUUUCAAAGUUCAACAUGAAUGGUGGUGGUCCACUGCAGAAGCAAGCAUUUGAAAAAACAUCACUUCUCAGUUAUUAAAGAUGCUGUGUUGAACAACUUCCCAGCAGCAACAGAACUGGAACUGAAGGAUGCAAUGGGGGCAUUUCAAACAGGCACCAGGGAGCAUGGGGAGGGGGUAUAGAAAUUAGUACAAUUAAUAAGUUGACGUGAACUGAAGAUAGUUUGUUAAUGUUUAGAUGUUAUUUCAUUUUUAAAAUUGUAUUUUGUUAUAUAUGCUUUUAUUUUGUUACUGUUUUUAUUCUUUUUGUUAAAAGUAGUUUUUCUUCAUUUUGUCUUAUCUGAAUUUCUAUUGUAUUAACAAUAUUUUUUGUAAUAAAUUGCAUGAUUGCAUGUUUAUGAGAACCUUUUUUAAUGAAUUAAAAAGAAUUCUUUAGCCAUUCUUUUGUUCUUUAUUAGACCCACACGUGUAGUCGUUUAAUAGCCGUCUAUUUAACGGCUAGUCUAUUCUUGGGCUAUGAUAGACGUCUACUAGAUUUUCACUGACAGCCCAAAAUUAGCCUUGUUUUAGCCUAGACCCACAUUCACCGUCUAUUAGACGUAUAUAUGUAGACGUUUAAUAGCCGUCUAUUUGAUGACUAGUCUAUUUCUUGGGCUAUGAUAGACGUCUACUAGAUUUUCACUGACAGCCCAAAAUUAGCCUUGUUUUAGCCUAGACGUCAGGGGGGUGUUUAGACGGCUACUAGACGUCUAUUAGCCGCAAAAUUGCU